AGAAUCAACGCUGGCGGCGUGCCUAACACAUGCAAGUCGCACGAGAAAGGGGAGCAAUCCCUGAGUAAAGUGGCGCACGGGUGAGUAACACGUGAAUGAUCUACCUCCGAGUGGGGAAUAACCAAAAGAAAUUUGGCUAAUACCGCAUAACACUUACGAGUCAAAGCAGCAAUGCGCUUGGAGAGGAGUUCGCGGCAGAUUAGCUAGUUGGCGGGGUAAUGGCCCACCAAGACAGUGAUCUGUA
rnacentral:rRNA from 1 species